rnacentral:rRNA from 1 species
UACGAAGGGUGCAAACGUUGCUCGGAAUUAUUGGGCGUAAAGCGCACGUAGGCGGCUUGGCAAGUCGGAUGUGAAAUCCCUCGGCUCAACCAAGGAAGUGCAUCCGAAACUGCUGAGCUUGAGUACUUAAGAGGAUCUCGGAAUUCCCGGUGUAGAGGUGAAAUUCGUAGAUAUCGGGAGGAACACCAGUGGCGAAGGCGGCGAUCUGGGAAGAUACUGACGCUGAGGUGCGAAAGCGUGGGGAGCAAACAGG